UCUCUAUCUCUCUCUUCUCACUGAAUUUGUGUGCUUUUGAUGAAUUUAAUUUCAAAUAUUAGUUGUGAUUUUUUUUUUCUUUUAUGCCAGAAUGUGUGGUAUAAAUUCAUGCUUGAUUGAUUUGUACUCAAAGUUUGUAACUUUGAUUUUUGUUUUUUAGGGUUUACUCAUGCGUAUUAUAACUUAAUUAAGGGCCACUGUGAAGACACAAUUGUGUGUGGUUAACUGUUUUUGAUAUGGUUUGUGUUCUUAGGAUUGGCAUGUUUAGUUGUUUUGUUUGGGGUUCGUGGGGAUUUUUUGGGUCGAUAUAUAUUCUUAAGUUGCAUAUAAAAGCUUAAUUGCAGAGAACCAGUAGUAAAUAACUCACGGUAUAAUGAUGUAAUAGUAUAUGAAUUAUAUCAUUCUGCUUCGUAAAUCAAAUUGCUAAUGCAGUGUGUUUGAUUUGUUUCCUCUUGAGGUACUUUCGAGGCCUGCCGUCAGCCCAAUGCAAUUGAUCGCAUCCCGCAUGAUUAAUUUAUCCACGUUCGAGAAUUUCUCAUUAUACAAUUCUACUGCAUUUUUUCUUUAAAUUUUAAUUUUAAUUUUAAAAUUUUGGUUUUGAUUAUGCAGUUUGUGGAUAUAUGCUUUUGUCUGAUUUCUGCUACGAUAAUGAUCGAAUCCAAAGGAUCGAGGCCAGUCGAUCUUAGGUUUGUACUACUCUAUCCCUUUCUUUCUCUCUGUCUGUGAAUUUCUUGAAAUGUACUAUUCUUGCUGUGUUUGGGAGCGGAGAAAGCUCUGGAUUAGCUUUGAUCGCUUGAAUGUCUUAUUUAGUUCAGCACGGUCAGACUACAUAAUCCUAUUAUUGGGCUAUUUCUAGGAAGGUUGUAUGUUUAUUUUGUUAGUCUGUUGACAGUUGGUAUGUCUAUCAUGUUGAUGGAACUAAAUUGUGAGUUAAUUAUGGUUUAGAUUAUUGAAUUUUGAAUUUGGAAUUCCCUUCGGAAACUGUCACAAUCGAAGUGUCUAUUGUGACUACAGGAAUCAAAAGCGAGUGAAAGGUAAAGCUUUUCUCUCAAACAUUCAUCGUCAACAAUUCCAGCCAGAGCCAGGUACAUCUCUCCUCUUGCUUUCUUUUUACAAUGUUCUUUCCCAAUUUCUCUCAGAAAGUAAGAGUUUUGGUUUGUAUCCUUGGAUUAGAUUUGUAUAUGUUCCAUUGCAUCUCAGUUUUGUCUGAUUUAAUAGCAUAAUCUGGCUCUUGGUUUUCUUGAUUUAAUUUUUCUUUCAUUUCUAUAAUUAGACAAAUUAAGGAUAAAAUUUUCUAUUAGUAUAUGAGUAACCGAUUCUGAUAUAACAUUUUCCUCCAUUUGACGUGAUUUUGGAUUAUUAGGGACUCAGGCUUGCCUUUUGAAAAAAGGCUUUUAGGUGAGUAAUUUACUAAUUUGGUUUUUAUUAUCAGAAUAGGGGGUUUAAUUUGUAAUUAUUUUGAUGCGACAAAAAUUUUUAGAUUUUACAGAUUUUUCUAGUUCAGGAUGAUAAAAAUUUAGGGCUUUGAUUUGUUGAUGUGAUUUCUACGUACUUUGAAUUCAAAUAGAAAUGCAAUGAUAUAUUAGAUGUUUGAGUAAAUUUUCAGUCAAAAGUUUUAGAUUUUACAGAUUUUUUCAGUUCAGGAUGAUAAAAAUUUAGGGCUUUGAUUUGUUGACGUGAUUGAGUAAAUUUUCAGUCUCCAUCUAUUUGUUUAACCCUUAAUGAUGUGAAUUAUUGAUUGAUAAUUUGAUAAUAUGUAUGCUAUUAUUGAUCAAGAAAAAUUAGUUCGUUAAUUUGUUGGGCUUGGUUGUUUUGACAUGUCGAUGUUAUAAAGCUCCUUUUUAUAGUUAGGUUGAAGAUCAUGUUAAUAGAUUCUUUUUUUGGUUGGUUCGAUUUGUAACAGAUGAGAUUGUUUUGUUUGAAUCAAAAUUUGAUCUUUUUUUUUGUGUGAAAUUAUAAUGGAAUCGCAAAUUUGUGAGGUAUACCUUAGAUUCUUGGUUGCAUAAUCACCUUCCCACAACUAUUACAUUGCCUCUUGAUUGGAUGGAUUUUUAUAAUUUUCAGGAUCUAUGGUUGCAAUGCUUUAGAUUCAUGAAGUAAGAGGAAGCUACUAUUCUUAUGGAGCUUCUUUGGCAUGGUUAUUCUCGAUCUUUAGAUAGUGAGUAUUUGACGACUUCUCUAAACUUGGCUACUUGGCUACUCAGCCUUUCAAAUACAGAGCUGCAGAUGAGAGAGGAGUCAGGUGAGCUAGAAUCGGGUUUGUACCAUUCUAAAUUAUUCGUUUAGAUGCCAAUAAAAGAUAUGGUUGCCCAAUUCAGCUUUGCAUUUUCAAUGUCUUAAUUAUUUUCCUUUGAUAGCACUUCGUUUUGAUUUGUAAAUAAACUAUAUACUAAUAAAAGAUAUGGUUGCUCAAUU